rnacentral:rRNA from 1 species
UAUACAAAGAGAAGCGACCUCGCGAGAGCAAGCGGACCUCAUAAAGUACGUCGUAGUCCGGAUUGGAGUCUGCAACUCGACUCCAUGAAGUCGGAAUCGCUAGUAAUCGUAGAUCAGAAUGCUACGGUGAAUACGUUCCCGGGCCUUGUACACACCGCCCGUCACACCAUGGGAGUGGGUUGCAAAAGAAGUAGGUAGCUUAACCUUCGGGAGGGCGCUUACCACUUUGUGAUUCAUGACUGGGGUGAAGUCGUAACAAGGUAACCGUAGGGGAACCUGCGGUUGGAUC